GAUCAUGGCUCAGGAUGAACGCUAGCUACAGGCUUAACACAUGCAAGUCGAGGGGCAGCAUGAUUGAAGCUUGCUUCAGUCGAUGGCGACCGGCGCACGGGUGAGUAACACGUAUCCAACCUGCCGAUAACUCGGGGAUAGCCUUUCGAAAGAAAGAUUAAUACCCGAUAGCAUAGUAUUUCCGCAUGGUUUCACUAUUAAAGAACUUCGGUUAUCGAUGGGGAUGCGUUCCAUUAG
rnacentral:rRNA from 1 species